UCUCUUUACUUUCGGGUUCUGCUGGCUUGUUAACGUCAGUUGAAAUAGUAUCAUUCUCCAUGUCUCCCCAAUCAAUAUCAUCCUCGGGAGGAGCAAGAUCUCCUAGAUCUGUAGCGUUGUUAUUCGAAGUAUUUUCAUCGUUACUCUCGGUCGCUGCUGUCAAUCGGCUUACCAAUUCAGCUUUGUUUCCAGCAGUGGAGAGGCCUUUCUCCGCAAGUUUUUCACGCAGUUCUGCAACUUUAAGACUCUUGUAAUCUGACAUUAUGAAUAUAGACGUAUAUGCGCGUCAAAAUAACACGUUUAUUGAAUUCGGGAUAUACGCAGUUGACAAGGGUGAAUAUGUACGAACCAGCCAACUUUAGUGAGACAUGUUGGAUGCGCAAAUGAAGCGUAGUGAAUUGGAGUGAUGAUUGUGUCAAACAUAGUGGUGCUAUUUUGCGUAUCGCUAUGUAAUGUUUACUGUGCUA